CAGCUAGUCAGCACAGUGGAUAGAGCACCUGGCCUCUAGUCAGGAAUAUCUGAGUUCAAACCCAGCUAGCUGU
rnacentral:tRNA from 1 species